GCAAGGGCUAGGGACGUCUGGGUGGCAAGGAAGCCUUUCCCAGGAUGCGAGACGGCUUUCCACAUUUGGGCCUCCAUGGACUUAGGCUCGCAAGCGGGACGCCCCUCAGUGUCCGUUUCCGAGGCCCCAUCCCCGGAGGGUGCAGGAGAGUCUGCGCCCAGCGCGGACAGGGGCCCCGCGACCCUCGCUCGGGCUCCACUACGGCGGGCGGGCAUUGGCUGCCCAGAGGGCCCAGUCGGCUUCCGGCGGCCGCGGGCGACUCCUGGUACCCCCGAGGCCCCGCGAACUCACCUUCACAAAGCUGUCGGCGUCCGGGAAGCCUGGCAGCACCAUCUCUCCGUCGGAUUUGGUUGCGCUGGUCGCCGACAGGACCCUGGGCUCCCGGGUAAGCUCCUGAAGAAAGCGUCUAGCUCCAACUGUGCUUCCUCCCUCCAGUACCCUCUGAACUCCUCCAAGCAGACGUUGUUUCCUGCAGACAUCGCUGGAACCAUUCUGGUUAACACAGAGUGGGAACUCAGUACACAUUUGUGAAGUGAACUCCUGGAAGAGCUCUUGUGAGGGAGGCACCGAAUUAUCAGGCAGCUCAAGAGAUAGAUUCACUCUCCUGAAAUUAGAGAUGGGAUGCCCUUAAUACAAUUCAUUCCACCCAUUAAGUCUUCAAUAAAUGUUCAGCAUAUCCAGUUAAGAGAA
ensembl:lncRNA EXOSC10-AS1 EXOSC10 antisense RNA 1